GAUGAACGCUGGCGGCGUGCCUAAUACAUGCAAGUCGAGCGAAUGGAUUAAGAGCUUGCUCUUAUGAAGUUAGCGGCGGACGGGUGAGUAACACGUGGGUAACCUGCCCAUAAGACUGGGAUAACUCCGGGAAACCGGGGCUAAUACCGGAUAACAUUUUGAACCGCAUGGUUCGAAAUUGAAAGGCGGCUUCGGCUGUCACUUAUGGAUGGACCCGCGUCGCAUUAGCUAGUUGGUGAGGUAACGGCUCACCAAGGCAACGAUGCGUAGCCGAGCUGGGAGGGUGAUCGGCCAAACUGGGACUGAGACACGUCCCAGACUCCGACGGGAGGCAGCAGUAGGGAAUCUUCCGCAAUGGACGAAAGUCUGACGGAGCAACGCCGCGGGAGUGAUGAAGGCUUUCGGGUCGUAAAACUCUGUUGUUAGGGAAGAACAAGUGCUAGUUGAAUAAGCUGGCACCUUGACGGUACCUAACCAGAAAGCCACGGCUAACUACGUGCCAGCCGCCGCCGUAA
rnacentral:rRNA from 1 species